rfam:Dipodomys ordii contig_21674, whole genome shotgun sequence.
GGUGGCUCAGUGGUAGAGCACUUGCCUUGCAUGCAUGCCUGAGGCCCUGGGUUCGAUUCCUCAGCACCA